rnacentral:lncRNA from 1 species
GAACUACUAAUAUUUUUUUUCAAAAUAAAUUAAGAGAAAAAAUAUAGAUUUAUACUAGAUCUAUUCAAGGGUUGGGUAGUCCACCUAGCUUGCCCGAGUCUAAAGACUUUUGGCAUGCUCGAGCCAAAGAUUUUAGGCCAAUAGAUAAGAUCGGACCUAGAAAAUAAGCCUAUGUAACAAGCAAACUAGGCCCAAGGUUUAGAUUAAAGCCCAGUGUGGGCUAGCUUAAAAUUUUUUAUUUUUCUUUUUAUUUAUGUUUGAUACAUUUAUACUUCUAAUUAAUAAUGCGGGUGAUAUGUGAACUUAACGGAAUAAUAGAUGUAUCAUAAGUUGUUUUUAAUAAUUAUCAUUCAUAUUCAACAAUCUUUUAAAAUAUUUUUAAAAUAUUUUUAUUAUUCUUGAUUAUUUUUAAGAAAAAUAGUCAUGAAGUCCAAGG